AUUGAACGCUGGCGGCAUGCUUUACACAUGCAAGUCGAACGGUAACAGCCCGCAAGGUGCUGACGAGUGGCGAACGGCUGAGUAAUGCAUCGGUACGUGCCCAGUCGUGGCGGGUAACUACUCGUAAUAGUACCUAAUACCUCAUACGAUCUAUGGUUGAAAGCGGGGGACCGUAAGGCCUCGCUCGAUUGGUUCGGCCGGUGUCAGAUGAGGUAGGUGGUGGGGGAUAGGCUCACUAAGCCAACGAUCUGUAGCGGUUAUGAGAGGACGACCCGCCACACUGGAACUGAGACACGGCACAGACACCUGCGGGAGGAAGCAGUGGGGAAUUUUGGACAAGGGGGGAAAGCGUGAUCCAGCAAUGCCGCGUGAAGGAAGAAGGCGUUCGGGUUGUAAACUGCUUUUGUACGGAACGAAACGGAGCUGGUUAAUACGCGGGGAUAAUGACGGUACCGUAAGAAUAAGCACCGGCUAACUACGUG
rnacentral:rRNA from 1 species